AUUCCACAAUGGGGACAUUUUCUCAACAACUCCUUAAACUUCUCCCAUGCAUCAUACAACGCUCACCAUAUUUUUGGUGAAAAUUGUUGAUUUAACCUCUAUACCU